UACGUAAAAAGACUAGUGUUAGUCAUCUUUAUUAGGUUUAAAGGGUACCUAGACGGUAAAUUAAACCCCUAAAGGGUACUUUUUUACUAGAGUUUAUAAGAGAAAGGGAGAAUUUUUAGAGUAGAGAUAAAAUUCUUUGAUAACUAAAAGGACUGGUAAAGGGCGAAGGCUGCUUUCUAUGUAAAAACUGACGUUGAGGGACGAAGGCUUGGGUAGCAAUAAGG
rnacentral:rRNA from 1 species